rnacentral:rRNA from 1 species
UACAGAGGUCUCAAGCGUUGUUCGGAUUCAUUGGGCGUAAAGGGUGCGUAGGUGGCGCUGUAAGUCGGGUGUGAAAUUUCGGAGCUUAACUCCGAAACUGCAUUCGAUACUGCGGUGCUUGAGGACUGGAGAGGAGACUGGAAUUCAUGGUGUAGCAGUGAAAUGCGUAGAGAUCCGGAGGAACACCAGUGGCGAAGGCGACACGCUGGGCCGUACCUGACGCUAAAGCGCGACAGCAUGGGGAGCAAACGGG